rnacentral:lncRNA from 1 species
AAGGCCCUCCUGAACUUCAUUGAGAUGCUGAGCCAGCAUGACUACUUGGCCAUGCCUCAGGGGAACGUCAUCAUCAACUAUGUCAUCAAGCUCAGCGAGUCUGACUGCUCAAAUGAAGAGGACAUCCAGCUAAUGUGUUCCAAAAUCCUACAGAUGGUGUCCUUGCCCAAACUGAUUACCUUGGCGUGCCAGCCCAGCAACACCUUGGCCUUCGUGUCGCUGAGUAGGACGGCCACAAACAUGGCUCUGAAGGCCCGGUCCCUGGGCCAGUUCCCCUACCUUAGCAGCUUUCACCUCAGCCCUACCCAGUUCGUCUCCCCACAGAAACUCCUGACCCAUCUUGUGUUUUCAGGUCAGUCUUUAGUGGCCAUCAAUGAUGACAGCUGGCUGGAGCAACUCAUCAAGGUUGUCUUGGAGAGGAUAAAUUAUUUCAGCGAUGG